AGCAGCAGUUAGCUCAGUUGGUUAGAGUGUAGUUCUGUUAAUGUGAAGGUUAUGGGUUCAAUUCCCAUACAGGCCA